rnacentral:rRNA from 1 species
UUAGUAGCGUAGNUAACGCGUGAAAUCGACCGCCUGGGGAGUACGGUCGCAAGAUUAAAACUCAAAGGAAUUGACGGGGACCCGCACAAGCGGUGGAUGAUGUGGAUUAAUUNGAUGCAACGCGAAGAACCUUACCUGGUCAUGACAUGUACGGAAGAACUCAGAGACGAGUUUGUGCCUUCGGGANCCGCAACACAGGUGCUGCAUGGCUGUCGUCAGCUCGNGUCGUGAGAUGNUGGGUUAAGUCCCGCAACGAGCGCAACCCUUGUCAUUAGUUGCCAUCAUUUAGUUGGGCACUNUAAUGAGACUGCCGGUGACAAACCGGAGGAAGGUGGGGAUGACGUCAAGUCCUCAUGGCCCUUAUGACCAGGGCUUCACACGUCACACAAUGGUCGGUACAGAGGGUAGCCAAGCCGCGAGGUGGAGCCAAUCCCAGAAAACCGAUNGUAGUCCGGAUUGCACUCUGCAACUCGAGUGCAUGAAGUCGGAAUCGCUAGUAAUCGCAGGUCAGCAUACUGCGGUGAACACGUUCCCGGGUCUUGUACACACCGCCCGUCACACCAUGGGAGUGGGGGAUACCAGAAGCAGGUNG